rnacentral:rRNA from 1 species
UCGAUCUCAAUCAAGUAAAGACUACCCGCU